AGUUUACAGGCUCAUCCAAAACUCAACUCCAAUCAAAAGUAUUGUGACAUAAUCACUCCCACUGUUUGGUUUUGGUUUUGGUUCCACCAAUGAGUAUAUAAACACCCCUGAGAUGAUCCGAGAGUCUGUUCUGAAGAAGCAUCAUCAUCUGUGACCUCAGGUACCUAAGUCUAAGAAAACUAUAACUCAACUCCCGAGAGAUUGUCUGAUAGAGGAAUCCUGUGACGUCAUGGAUUUCUUCAAAGCGGUGGGUGCGGUGGCGUCGGGCGUUGCCGAGGGAACAGUGGGCCUGGUCAGAGCCGUGGUGGACGUCCCAGUGGGGAUGGUGAAAGGAGCCGCAGACAGCAUCAAAGAAGCCAGGAGCAAAAUCAACAUCGCCAGCUCGCCCGGUGAAGGAGUGGACGCUGUUUUCAGUCUACUGACGUCUCCAGUGACCGGCGCGGUGGCCGGAGGCACAAAAGAGAUCGUCAAGGCACCAGGAAAAGUUGUGCAGAGUGUUGCAGAUGGCAUCGAGAAAGUUUUCGAUGACUAAGAAGUAUGAGAGUUGAAAGCUUUGAUCUAAUAAUACUUGAAGACUCAUCAUGCAAAAACUUUUAUUUUAGAAUAACCUGGAAAUUUGACAAAACAUUAUUUGAUGUAUAUGAAAUAGACAAUAUUUUAUACACUCACAGGUAAUAAUGUUUUCACAAUGUCUACAAAUUACAUGAAAUGAUUGUAGGCUAUCAUAAAUUAGCACUGAUUGUUUCACAUUUGUGACAAUUAUGCUAAUUAAACUUCAACAAUGUCAAAAAAUUGUGUCUUGUGUGAAAAUUUCACAAAUUG
ensembl:lncRNA